GCCUUAGUUAUGUAACGGUAGUACACUCGGCUCGUAUUCGAGAGGUCCAGGUUCGAGCCCCGGCGAGGGCA
rnacentral:tRNA from 1 species